GACGAACCGUGCGAACGUUGUUCGGAAUCACUGGGCUUAAAGGGCGCGUAGGCGGGCUCACAAGUCAGGGGUGAAAGCCCACGGCUCAACCGUGGAAGAGCCUUGAUACUGUGGGUCUCGAGGGAGGUAGGGCGUGCGGAACUUCCGGUGGAGCGGUGAAAUGCGUAGAUAUCGGAAGGAACAUCGGUGGCGAAAGCGGCGCGCUGGACCUCUCUGGACGCUGACGGCGCGAAAG
rnacentral:rRNA from 1 species